rnacentral:rRNA from 1 species
AGUGAACGCUGGCGGUAGGCCUAACACAUGCAAGUCGAACGGCAGCACGGGAGAGCUUGCUCUCUGGGUGGCGAGUGGCGGACGGGUGAGGAAUACAUCGGAAUCUACCUUUUCGUGGGGGAUAACGUAGGGAAACUUACGCUAAUACCGCAUACGACCUACGGGUGAAAGUGGGGGACCGCAAGGCCUCACGCGAUUAGAUGAGCCGAUGUCCGAUUAGCUAGUUGGCGGGGUAAUGGCCCACCAAGGCGACGAUCGGUAGCUGGUCUGAGAGGAUGAUCAGCCACACUGGAACUGAGACACGGUCCAGACUCCUACGGGAGGCAGCAGUGGGGAAUAUUGGACAAUGGGCGCAAGCCUGAUCCAGCCAUACCGCGUGGGUGAAGAAGGCCUUCGGGUUGUAAAGCCCUUUUGUUGGGAAAGAAAUCCUAUCGGUUAAUAACCGGUGGGGAUGAC